GGGCCCGCGGUGUAGCCAGGUCUAUCAUGCGGGGCUCCAGACCCCGUGACCCGGGUUCAAAUCCCGGCGGGCCCACCA
rnacentral:tRNA from 2 species